AUUGAACGCUGGCGGCAUGCCUUACACAUGCAAGUCGAACGGCAGCGCGGGGCAACCUGGCGGCGAGUGGCGAACGGGUGAGUAAUAUAUCGGAACGUGCCCUGGAGUGGGGAUAACGUAGCGAAAGUUACGCUAAUACCGCAUACGAUCCAAGGAUGAAAGCAGGGGACCUUCGGGCCUUGUGCUCCUGGAGCGGCCGAUAUCUGAUUAGCUAGUUGGUGGGGUAAAAGCCUACCAAGGCGACGAUCAGUAGCUGGUCUGAGAGGACGACCAGCCACACUGGAACUGAGACACGGUCCAGACUCCUACGGGAGGCAGCAGUGGGGAAUUUUGGACAAUGGGGGGCAACCCUGAUCCAGCAAUGCCGCGUGUGUGAAGAAGGCCUCGGGUUGUAAAGCACUUUGUUCAGGAACGAAACGGUUAGAGGUUAAUACCUUGGCUAAUAGACGGUACCUGAAGAAUAAGACACCGG
rnacentral:rRNA from 1 species